UACGAAGGGGGCUAGCGUUGCUCGGAAUCACUGGGCGUAAAGCGCACGUAGGCGGCUAGGUAAGUCUGCUCUGAAAGCCCGGGGCUCAACCCCGGGAGGCGGGUGGAUACUGUCUAGCUCGAGUCCGGAAGAGGAGUGUGGAAUUCCUGGUGUAGCGGUGAAAUGCGCAGAUAUCAGGAGGAACACCAAUGGCGAAGGCAGCACUCUGGGACGUGACUGACGCUGAGACGCGAAAGCGUGGGGAGCAAACAGG
rnacentral:rRNA from 1 species